rnacentral:rRNA from 1 species
AGCGAACGCUGGCGGCAGGCUUAACACAUGCAAGUCGAGCGGGCAUCUUCGGGUGUCAGCGGCGGACGGGUGAGUAACGCGUGGGAACGUGCCCUCUGGUUCGGAAUAACUCAGGGAAACUUGAGCUAAUACCGGAUACGCCCUUGUUGGGGAAAGGCUUGCUGCCGGAGGAUCGGCCCGCGUCUGAUUAGCUAGUUGGUGGGGUAACGGCCUACCAAGGCGACGAUCAGUAGCUGGUCUGAGAGGAUGAUCAGCCACACUGGGACUGAGACACGGCCCAGACUCCUACGGGAGGCAGCAGUGGGGAAUAUUGGACAAUGGGGGCAACCCUGAUCCAGCCAUGCCGCGUGAGUGAUGAAGGCCUUAGGGUUGUAAAGCUCUUUUAUCCGGGACGAUAAUGACGGUACCGGAGGAAUAAGCCCCGGCUAACUUCGUGCCAGCAGCCGCAGUAA